UACGUAGGGAGCAAGCGUUGUCCGGAAUCAUUGGGCGUAAAGCGCGCGUAGGCGGCCUCAUAAGUCCGUUGUGAAAGUCAAAGGCUCAACCUUUGAAAGCCGAUGGAUACUGUGAGGCUAGAGUCCGGAAGAGGCGAGUGGAAUUCCUGGUGUAGCGGUGGAAUGCGCAGAUAUCGGAAGGAACACCAGUGGCGAAAGCGGCUUCCUGGUCCAGCACCGACGUUCAGGCACGAAAGCGUGGGGAGCAAACAGG
rnacentral:rRNA from 1 species